GACGAACGCUGGCGGCGUGCUUAACACAUGCAAGUCGAACGGAAAGGCCCUGCUUUUGUGGGGUGCUCGAGUGGUGAACGGGUGAGUAACACGUGAGUAACCUGCCCUUGACUUUGGGAUAACUUCAGGAAACUGGGGCUAAUGCCGGAUAACAUUUGGAACCGCAUGGUUCUAAAGUAAAAGAUGGUUUUGCUAUCACUUAUAGAUGGACCCGCGCCGUAUUAGCUAGUUGGUAAGGUGACGGCUUACCAAGGCAACGAUACGUAGCCGACCUGAGAGGGUGAUCGGCCACACUGGAACUGAGACACGGUCCAG
rnacentral:rRNA from 1 species